GACGAACGCUGGCGGCGUGCUUAACACGUGCAAGUCGAACGAAGAGCGAUGGAAGCUUGCUUCUAUCAAUCUUAGUGGCGAACGGGUGAGUAACGCGUAAUCAACCUGCCCUUCAGAGGGGGACAACAGUUGGAAACGACUGCUAAUACCGCAUACGAUCUAAUCUCGGCAUCGAGGAUAGAUGAAAGGUGGCCUCUACAUGUAAGCUAUCACUGAAGGAGGGGAUUGCGUCUGAUUAGCUAGUUGGAGGGGUAACGGCCCACCAAGGCGAUGAUCAGUAGCCGGUCUGAGAGGAUGAACGGCCACAUUGGGACUGAGACACGGCCCAGACUCCUACGGGAGGCAGCAGUGGGGAAUCUUCCGCAAUGGACGAAAGUCUGACGGAGCAACGCCGCGUGAGUGAUGACGGCCUUCGGGUUGUAAAGCUCUGUUAAUCGGGACGAAAGGCCUUCUUGCGAACAGUGAGAAGGAU
rnacentral:rRNA from 1 species